rnacentral:lncRNA from 1 species
AGAACAUCACAUCUACAGGAACACAGAGCCCCUCCGUGUGAGCUACUGUUCCUGGGAAAGCUGGUCAUACCAAGGACAGCCCUUUGGCAAGCAUGCAGCCUUUGUUCCUCUGCCUACUUAAGCAAGCUUCUUUUGGGGGGGCGGUUGCGGGUGCACACCUCCAUCCAGUCGGCCGCCACUGGACACGCUCCCGAAUUGGUCCAUGUGAUGGCGGGAGCUGGCAAUUCUGAAAUCCACAAGGCAAGCAGCGGGCUGGAAACUCAGAAGAAAGAAGAUGGAGCCUUCUUCAGCCCAUGUUUCUAUGUGAGAAUAAUAUGGAACAGAUCCCCCCUAUAUCCCACUCCUGGCCAAUCCAAGAUGGACAUGAAGUUGCUCUGACAUGGCCAUCUGAGAACUUCCAAAAGCUGUAAAACAAACAAAUGAACAACAACAACAACAACACCAAACUCAGAAGAAAUAGCUGUUGAAAACAAGGCUUUAAGAAAUGAAAGAAAGGACCUUCCAUUUAUUGAUCAAUUACUGUGUAUAAAGCAGUAUUUCUUUACAUACAUUUUCUCAUAUCAGUACCACAAUACUAGAGCACGGCUUGACAAGUGGUACAUAGGUCUGCACCUGGGAUCUGAACUAGUGAACCCCAGGCCGCUGAAGUGGAACAUGUGAACUCAACCGCUGCACCACCGGGCUGGCCCCUAAGGUGCAGAAGACAGCCAAGCAAGUGGAGAUGCCCCUGUAAGCACACGCAGCCGCAAGAUCUUCUGAAGCAUCCAUCACAAGUUCAAGAAAGCACAAGAGAAGUGAAUCAGAAUACCAGAUGGAAUUAGCUGGAGCAGAACCAAGAGUCCCAGGAGAACUCUGCCGAUCCAAGUAAUGCACUGUGUAUGGAGAGCCCUGGAGACCCUACAACUAUCUGCUGCAUCUCCAGAGGAGCCUGUGGAGACAUGGCCAACCACGUAGAGACCAAAUGUUACACCAAUAGGCUACACAGAUUGUAAUUAUUAAAAUAAAAUCAAUAAGAUAUGAAAAGA